CAGCGGGUUUAUGCUUUCUGCUCUCUGGUCAGGUUGUUGUCUCUUUGACACAUUCCCUGUUUCCAUACUCAAUUUUAUAUUAUGCAAUUAUAUGUAAUGUUAUUUAUUCUCUCAAGAAUAUUGUUACAUCCCUUAAAAAUGCAUAUUUUAUUGUAUUGGUACAUGUAGAGAUAAAUACUCCAAAAAAGUUAAUGCAUAUAUACAGUUGUAUGUCAUGUAUGUAUAUUUUCCUUUCUAUAGGGUUGUAAUUACACCACUUUGUUAAAUACCAGAUUAAAUUACCAUACAAAAUCCUGUCAUGCUAAAACAGAAUGUUUAGAAAAAUGCCAGAUUUGUGGUAAAGUAUACCCAGCAGACAAGAAGUUCAAGGAUCAUGUUUAUGGAGUCCAUGGAAAUGAUAGGAUGAUAAGACUGUAAUGUGAAAUAUGUGGGCAUGUCAUGAAAAAAGCUGGGAUGUACAUGUAAAAUGCCACAUGCUUGCUAAACAUGAUAUUGAAGAGAAAUUGCCAACAGUUCUAUGCCAUUUAUGUCCUAAAGAAUUCAAGCAACAGUUUGUAUUGGAUGAGCACUUGUUAAAAGUCUAUAAACAAAUCCCUCCUGGAAGAGAGAAAGUCAUUUGAACCAGGAAGCAGUCCUAAAGUUCCAUGUCCAAUUUGUGGAAAAAUGUUGAGAAACAUUAGAAAACAUAUCUACAAAAUGUCCAUGGUAAUACUUUGUUAGGGAACGACCAUUUAACUUCAAGGGGGGUUAUGGUUUUUUCCUAAAAAAAUA